UACGUAGGGGGCAAGCGUUGUCCGGAAUCAUUGGGCGUAAAGAGCGUGUAGGCGGCUUCACAGGUCUGCUGUGAAAACUCGAGGCUCAACCUCGAGAUGUCGGUGGAAACCGUGUGGCUAGAGUCCGGAAGAGGAGAGUGGAAUUCCCGGUGUAGCGGUGAAAUGCGCAGAUAUCGGGAAGAACACCCGUGGCGAAGGCGGCUCUCUGGGACGGUACUGACGCUGAGACGCGAAAGCGUGGGGAGCGAACAGG
rnacentral:rRNA from 1 species